CGAGAUCACUGUAAAAUCUUUGCAGCGAAAGAACGGAUUGGUAGAAGAGUAAAAGCAAAAAGGUUGUGCCGUCAAAUAGCACUUUCUGUAACCUCAGGAAUGAAAGUCACGGAAACGGCAAUCCUGCCGGAACAACAGCUCCUAGUGAUCUGUUACAACUUUCACCGGCAAUGAAAUUGCUUCAGAAAAAUCACUGUUUGUGAAGGGUCACGAGGUUCACUAGAAUGACGGAGAAGCCAUGACGAGUUAAAGAUGCUGCCUGAUCUGUUGGCUGCUUUCAGUAUUUUCUGUAUCUUGAAAGAGGGAGGUGAUGAUGUCCCUAUACAACUGCUGACCUUCUGCUUAUGCUGCCCGAUCUGCUGAGCAUUUCUACCAUUUUCCCAUUUCACCUCACAUUUGCAUGACUGCAGAGUCACCUAUACAUGGAAUGGAUCUGCACUCCUAAACCACUUUAAUGAAGAUGUCGGGUUCUUAGCAUUCUGUGACAGAACAUUAGCAGAUUUCCACCAGAAAAAAAAACAAGCAGAAAACUUUACUCAAAUUACUCCAAAAUUUGUUAUUUAUCUCAAUCAAGAAAGGGAGUGAGAGAGUUUUAAAAAUAAUAAUAAUGUAUGCCAAAUGGGUUUAAAUUGAAGAAAUAAUAAAGCAAUCCGUGAUCAUUCAUGGGAAUACAUCACAUGAAAUUAGACCUAGCUAGGUGAAAGUGUGCAUUUAUUAACUUGUCCCAUAUUACCGGGUGGCCCGUCAGUGAUGGCAGCCUCGCCAACGGUCUGUCUAUCUUUUCGUCUUUUUUGUUAUUUUUACUGUGUUUUAAAAUGUUUGUGUUAAUAUUUUCUGGUUUGUUUUAUGU